rnacentral:tRNA from 1 species
GCUCUGGUGGUGUAGCGGUAACAUCGUUCUCUUCCAUUACAGGCGAAGAACAGCUCCGGGUUCGACUCCCGGCCAGUGCA